GCCUACGGCCAUACCACCCUGAACACGCCCGAUCUCAUCUGAUCUUGGAAGCUAAGCAGGGGCAGGCCUUAGAUGGGAGACCGCCUGGGAAUACCGGGUGCUGUAGGCU
rnacentral:rRNA from 1 species